AUUCAUAUUUUUGCUAACUUCAACAGAUGUGCCCCAGCCCCAGCAGCCCCUCCACCUAGACAGCCCAAGCAAGACCAGCCCCUACCCCUAGACCAGCCUCAGCAAGACCAGCCCCCAGACCAGCCCCAGAAAGACCAGCCCCUGCCCCUAGACCAGCCCCAGCAAGACCAGCCCCUGCCCCUAGACCAGCUAAUCCCACAAGUCCAGCCCACCCCAACAGACCAGCAAAUUAUUACACUUGAACUAUUUACGAUCGACUCUCAGGCUCAGCAGCAUGUGGAGCCUCUACCACCCAGGAAAAGACAAACCCCACUAUCCACCCCGGGCCUACCAUCCACCCCAGGCCAAGGCAAACGAGCCCCACCAUCCAUCCAACCUCAACUAAAGAAAAGACAAACCACAGGUACAGGAGCCACACAAGCCCCACCCGCUACCCUGGCCAAAAAGAAGAAAACAAAAAGCAAGGAUACAUUCUUUGCACCCCAUGUGUAUAUCAGCAGCCAUUUGUUGGGUGUAAAGGUAUUUUUGCAUGUAGCCCCUUUAAUUGGACCAAACUCAGGGUGUAUUCACACUUGGUCUCUUUCAGCCCUCAAAGUGAACUAAGAACAGUGACUCAUAUAUGAACAACUCAAGCAAACUCAGACCCAUUUGAAGUGAAUCAAACUUUUUUUUGCCUUUGUCAUAUAAGGAUGCAAAUGCAGUCAACAGACAAUUUAUCCAUACGAUAAAA
ensembl:lncRNA